CGGGCUCUGGCCGAGUGUGCACGCCCCACGGGCUGCGCAUGCGCCUUCUUCCUGGCGGCUCCGGAGCGCCUCGCCGGGCCGACUUCGCUCGCUGGUUGACAGUGCGCCUGCGCGGUCGCUGGGGGCUCUCCACCUCUGCCUCCCCUCCCCCUGACGCCCCGCGGGGGCUCCGGGCCCGGCGGGACCAUGUUCACCAGCACCGGCUCCAGUGGGCUUUAUAAGGCACCUCUGUCGAAGAGUCUUCUGCUGGUCCCCAGUGCCCUGUCCCUCCUGCUGACUCUCCUGCUGCCUCACUGUCAGAAGUUCUUCGUGUAUGACCUCCAUGCUGUCAAGCACGACUUGCAGAUUUGGAGGCUGAUAUGCGGAAGAAUAAUUUGCCUUGACUUGAAAGACGCUUUCUGUAGUGGUCUUCUCAUUUAUAACUUCAGAAUAUUUGAAAGAAGAUAUGGAAGCAGGAAGUUCGCAUCCUUCUUGCUGGGUUCCUGGGUCUUGUCAGCCUUGUUUGAUUUUAUCCUCGUGGAAGCCGUGCAGUAUUCGCUUGGUGUCACAGUGGCCAGCAACUUACCUUCUGGAUUCUUGGCGCCCGUGUUCGCUCUCUUUGUUCCAUUUCACUGCUCCAUCCCAAGAGUCCAGGUGGCGCAGAUCCUGGGCCCGUUGUCCAUCACAAACAAGACAUUGAUUUAUAUAUUGGGACUACAGCUUUUCACCUCUGGGUCCUACAUCUGGAUUGUAGCCAUGAGUGGACUUAUCUCUGGCAUGUGCUAUGACCGCAAAGUGCUCCAGGUCCACCAGGUGCUCCGCAUCCCUGGCAGAAUGGCCGAGUUCUUCUCCUGGGCCCUUGAGCCCAUCUUCUCAUCUUCAGAACCCACCAGCGAGGCCAGGGUUGGGAUGGGAGCCACCGUGGACAUCCAGAGACAGCAGAGGAUGGAGCAGCUGGACCGGCAGCUGAUGCUCUCUCAGUUUGCACAAGUGAGGCGUCAAAGGCAGCAGCAGGUAAGGCCCGCGUGACCGGAGGUGUGCGCUUCCUCCCGCUGUGACGAGUGAGAACGUGUGGUGGCCUCCGCUUCAAUCCUGUACUUCACACUGAUCUUUUGAUGUGUUUUCUGGAGAAGGAGAGUGCAGGUCUGUCAGGUCGCUUUUGUUAGUGUCUGGGGUUUCUGUUGUUUUGUUUUUAAGGUAACAAAAUUACAGCCGAACAGUUGGUCAGAUUGGACAUUCAUAUCUUUAGCAUUAUUUCUAAGAGAAACACCGACCUAGUUAAUGAGAUAGGAUAUUUAUCAGUGUUUGUAAUCUUGUCAAAGCCACAAUGUCUUCCUGUUGAAAGUGCUAGUCAUGUGCCAUGGAAGGGGAACAGGGGAAAGUUGUAUGAUUUUCCUUGGCUAAAGUGAAUACCAAGAUCAGAAAACCUUAAGGGAACAGCCAGUGACUACAUCAUAUAAAUGCUGUGUUUUCAUAGAUGAGCCCGCAGUAACCCGGAGCCAUUGCACAAUUACCUACAAAUACUACUUUAGCCAAAAUUCUGACAUGACACUUGUCUUUCAAGGGAGACAGGGAAAGGGGAAGUUGCUCCAUGCCCAGCUAAGACUUCCUGAUCUGCUUUUCCUCGCACACUGUGACCAGCACAUUGGACCCCUCACUUCCCACUUCCUCCUUCAUCUUUUGGGGUGGUGAGAGAUGCAGAAUUCUCCUGCCAUCCUUCUAUCUUGCCUUCCCCAGGUAAAAGAGGUGGGGCUUCAGGACUCAUGGUGGCCUCGAGUAUUAAAGUCUAGUCUGCCGUCUUUGGAAUGUGGGGUCCAGGGUUUGUCUUUAGGGGGAGUAAGUGAUAGAAGACAGAGACCUAAGUUGUUCCUUAUAGCCCUGUUGGACUUGGAAGCAACUGGAGCACGUGACACAGAUACCCAUGACAUGUUCCAUGAUGGCUGGCAUGUGCUCUUGUGAAGAGACCAGAGGUGGGGGUGGAGGUGGCUUACAGACUCACUCGUAGGUGUGAGAACCAAGAGUAGGGAGCUGUGUGGGAAGGAUUCUGGCUACAGUCAACAGAACUGAAGUGAAGCCUUGUGAUUGACAGGAGGGAAGCAGUAGAUCCUACAAGACCCCUGAGAAGAGUGAAAGGAUGGGUGUGGUGUGGUAGCAUAGAGAACCCAGCAGAGCCUGUUUGUGCAGACUUCUUGGCCUCUCUGUAGCUUCCUCCCCUCCUGGGUACCUGAUAGGACCAUCUGAGAUAAGAGUCUUCAGAAAGAGGAAAGAACGCCUCUGUUGGUUCUGUGGUGUGCUCUGGGUGAGUGGGUUUCUAGUCUCUGUGACUUGCCCCAGGAUGAGAUGGUAGGAAAAGGCUAGAGAGGUCUUGCUUUUGAGGCUUCCAGGGUCCUUCAGUUCAAAUUACACAGUGUGCCAGGGUGCCCGACUUUGAGGUACUUUGUUCUGAGCCCUAAUCCUCCUUUUAUAAGGAAACUGUUCCUUUUGGAUUAGGGUCCACCUAAUGACCUUACUUUGCCAUAAUUAACCCUUAAAGGCCCUAUGUAUCAUCAAUACAGUUAUGCUGAGGCAAGUCUUCAGCAUACAGAGCCAUGACUCCAGGUUAUCAGUGCCCAGUGUUGGCACUAAGUAGCCAUUUCUUCUCGAAGGUGAUAGUGUAUCCAGUUCAUUGCUGUCUGCUCAUAGCAGACUAGAUAUUCCAUGAUGGCAGUAGCUAGAUCAUCCUGGGUACACAGGGCCCAUUUGUAACCUCCAUCCAUGUCAUCAUGGCUACUCUUCCUGUGCUGGUACUGAGAUAGACAAUAAUAAUGUUGCCGUCAUUCUGUCUAUCUCCUGCGUGUUGCCUUUUCUAUGAUGGACGUCCAUGGUAGGAAUUAGCCUGAGAUAACAGCCACCACACUUCCAACAUGUUCCUCUAUCUGUGUACACUUGCCUUCCCUCAGGUUUCCUUGGGCCCUACCUUCCAGUCUCCUGGAUGACCAGCCAAGUCAUUGGCUAUCCCAGUAAAUCCGAAUGCUGCAUUUUAUUACCCACAAGCCACUUCUCUUUACACUAAGUAGAUGACUGAGGGCGUUAACCUGCUCUGCCCAUGGAAGACUUUAACCUAAGCACUGGAGGGGCAGAGGUAGCUGGGUCUCUGUGAGUUUGUGUGUACAGCCUGGACUACAGGUGAGUUCCAGGAUAGCCAGAGCUACAUACACAGUGAUAUCCUGGUCUCAAAAAUCCAAAACAAAAAUAAAAACAAACAUACAAAUCCCCACAAAGCCCAUGAGCCUAUGAAAUGUCAGAUACUGGCCCUGGUAGCAACAAGCCAGACCCAAUAGCAAAGUGACUAUGAUCCACUGGAGACACAAGGCUGGGGGAGCAGUUACCGUGUCUGACCCGCUGCCCUCAACGCUGCCCUGACUGAAUGUACAGAUGACAGGCACAUGCCACAGAAGGACACAUUGAGUACUAAAGCCAGUUUUCAAGUCAGCCAACCCGAGUCAAGCACGCAAGCAUUUCUGGGUCAUAACUACUUGAAGAAGACUUGUGAAAGGCCAAAGCACAUCUGGCACUCUGCCACUUGUCUGGCCUCAUGAAGUUCCUCAUAGACUGACUCUGUCCAGAUGAGUGAAGCCCCAAGAGGCAUCACACAGGCUACCGCUCUCCAGGCUGCAAAGCAUGCAAGAGCUUCCCAGCUAACGCAGACCCUCUCAGAAUCCUGCCAGAGGGGCCGCCUUGGCCUCCAUCUAUUGAAGCGCCUUCACCAGUAGCCCCAUGACAGGAGGAGGCUCCACUGCUCCUCAUAAGCAUCUGCUCUUCCUGCAACAGCUCCUUUCCUGGCUACCCUGUUCCUGAACUUCCUGCUUUCUUCCUAGCUGCUUCAAUUUCUUUUUAUCCUUUUUGUCAGCCUAAUCACAGACUUUUUCUGUCUGUCCUGACUUGUUUACAGCUUGACCUUGCAGGACAUCUGUGUGUCUUUUUAUUUAUUUAUUUAUUUAUUUAUUUAUUUAUUUAUUUGGUUUUCCGAGACAGGGUUUCUUUGUGUAGCCCUCUGUAGACCAGGCUGGCCUUGAACUCAGAAAUCCGCCUGUCUCUGCCUCCCAAGUGCUGGGAUUAAAGGUGUGCGCCAUCACUGCCUGGCCAAGGCAUGAGCUCUUGAAAGGACAGAACUAUGGGAACUUCACUCACUUGUGCCCUUUUGGACACUAAUACAGCAUACUGCCCUGUGUGUGUGCAAGAAGCUGCCUGAGCUACUUCCAGAAGAACUCACAAGGACAAGAUUGUCAUAGUGUCUACAUAACUGAACACGUGAAGGCUCCUGGAGGCUGGGGCUCAGAGAGGGCUAGGCCUCCCAUUGCUGUGCUCUUCAGUGGGGAAGUGUGUGUGCAGAGUGCCCUGAGGACGUUUGCUGGGCAGACAGUUGGAAGUGCAGGGAGGAAUGAUCAAUUGGAACCGGCUUUUCCCCCCUUUACGUCAGCGACGAAAUAUCAACUAUCAAGAUGGACCUCGGUCUGAGCAGCGAGCAUCUCCUCCCCUGGAAGUUUCUGAAGAGCAGGUUGCCCGCCUCAUGGAGAUGGGAUUUUCCAGAGGGGACGCCUUGGAGGCCCUGAGGGCCUCAAACAAUGACCUCAAUGUGGCCACCAACUUCCUGCUGCAGCACUGACAUCCAGCCACUGUAUGACAGUGAUGUGCCCGCCACCACAUCAGCCUGAGGACCAAGCAGACCCCAGCACAGGUGUUCUCAAGAGGAGACGGUGGUUCCCACCAUACACUGUCCUUAAAUCCAAGAUGGUUGCCGUGUAGUAUCAAAUAAGUUUGCCAUUAAAUUAGCAUGUAUUUUCUAUCUUUA